UACGGGGGGGGCAAGCGUUGUUCGGAAUUACUGGGCGUAAAGGGCUCGUAGGUGGCCAACUAAGUCAGACGUGAAAUCCCUCAGCUUAACUGGGGAACUGCGUCUGAUACUGGAUGGCUUGAGUUUGGGAGAGGGAUGCGGAAUUCCAGGUGGUAGCGGUGAAAUGCGUAGAUAUCUGGAGGAACACCGGUGGCGAAGGCGGCAUCCUGGACCAACACUGACACUGAUGAGCGAAAGCCAGGGGAGCAAACGGG
rnacentral:rRNA from 1 species